rnacentral:rRNA from 1 species
GACGAACUUUGGCGGCGUGCUUAACACAUGCAAGUCGAACGGAAAGGCCCUGCUUUUGUGGGGUGCUCGAGUGGCGAACGGGUGAGUAACACGUGAGUAACCUGCCCUUGACUUUGGGAUAACUUCAGGAAACUGGGGCUAAUACCGGAUAGGAGCUCCUGCUGCAUGGUGGGGGUUGGAAAGUUUCGGCGGUUGGGGAUGGACUCGCGGCUUAUCAGCUUGUUGGUGGGGUAGUGGCUUACCAAGGCUUUGACGGGUAGCCGGCCUGAGAGGGUGACCGGCCACAUUGGGACUGAGAUACGGCCCAGACUCCUACGGGAGGCAGCAGUGGGGAAUAUUGCACAAUGGGCGGAAGCCUGAUGCAACAACGCCGCGUGCGGGAUGACGGCCUUCGGGUUGUAAACCGCUUUCGCCUGUGACGAAGCGUGAGUGACGGUAAUGGGUAAAGAAGCACCGGCUAACUACGUGCCAGCAGCCGCGGUGAUACGUAGGGUGCGAGCGUUGUCCGGAUUUAUUGGGCGUAAAGGGCUCGUAGGUGGUUGAUCGCGUCGGAAGUGUAAUCUUGGGGCUUAACCCUGAGCGUGCUUUCGAUACGGGUUGACUUGAGGAAGGUAGGGGAGAAUGGAAUUCCUGGUGGAGCGGUGGAAUGCGCAGAUAUCAGGAGGAACACCAGUGGCGAAGGCGGUUCUCUGGGCCUCUCCUGACGCUGAGGAGCGAAAGCGUGGGGAGCGAACAGGCUUAGAUACCCUGGUAGUCCACGCUGUAAACGGUGGGUACUAGGUGUGGGGUCCAUUCCACGGGUUCCGUGCCGUAGCUAACGCUUUAAGUACCCCGCCUGGGGAGUACGGCCGCAAGGCUAAAACUCAAAGGAAUUGACGGGGCCCCGCACAAGCGGCGGAGCAUGCGGAUUAAUUCGAUGCAACGCGUAGAACCUUACCUGGGUUUGACAUGGAUCGGGAGUGCUCAGAGAUGGGUGUGCCUCUUUUGGGGUCGGUUCACAGGUGGUGCAUGCCUGUCGUCAGCUCGUGUCGUGAGAUGUUGGGUUAAGUCCCGCAACGAGCGCAACCCUUGUUCACUGUUGCCAGCACGUUAUGGUGGGGACUCAGUGGAGACCGCCGGGGUCAACUCGGAGGAAGGUGGGGAUGACGUCAAGUCAUCAUGCCCCUUAUGUCCAGGGCUUCACGCAUGCUACAAUGGCUGGUACAGAGAGUGGCGAGCCUGUGAGGGUGAGCGAAUCUCGGAAAGCCGGUCUCAGUUCGGAUUGGGGUCUGCAACUCGACCUCAUGAAGUCGGAGUCGCUAGUAAUCGCAAAUCAGCAACGCUGCGGUGAAUACGUUCCCGGGGCU